rnacentral:rRNA from 1 species
AUUGAACGCUGGCGGCAUGCCUUACACAUGCAAGUCGAACGGCAGCACGGGAGCAAUCCUGGUGGCGAGUGGCGAACGGGUGAGUAAUAUAUCGGAACGUGCCCAGUAGUGGGGGAUAACUGCUCGAAAGAGCAGCUAAUACCGCAUACGACCUGAGGGUGAAAGCGGGGGAUCGCAAGACCUCGCGCUAUUGGAGCGGCCGAUAUCAGAUUAGCUAGUUGGUGGGGUAAAGGCCUACCAAGGCAACGAUCUGUAGUUGGUCUGAGAGGACGACCAGCCACACUGGGACUGAGACACGGCCCAGACUCCUACGGGAGGCAGCAGUGGGGAAUUUUGGACAAUGGGGGCAACCCUGAUCCAGCCAUGCCGCGUGCGGGAAGAAGGCCUC